UACGUAGGGUGCGAGCGUUAAUCGGAAUUACUGGGCGUAAAGCGUGCGCAGGCGGCUUCGCAAGUCAGACGUGAAAUCCCCGGGCUUAACCUGGGAAUGGCGUUUGAAACUACGGAGCUGGAGUGUGGCAGAGGGAGGUAGAAUUCCACGUGUAGCGGUGAAAUGCGUAGAUAUGUGGAGGAAUACCGAUGGCGAAGGCAGCCUCCUGGGCCAACACUGACGCUCAGGCACGAAAGCGUGGGGAGCAAACAGG
rnacentral:rRNA from 1 species